AUCAAAGUGAUCAUAAUAAGGAGGCAAGUGAUCCAGAAGAUCACAUGACAUAACGCUUCAUAAAGUCUCAUGAGAGAUUCAGGUACCUGAAUCUAUGAAUGAAGAGAUCUCCAUGUUAUGUCUUUAUGAAAAUUGACUGAAACCGAUAUAAAAUGAUUGUCGACGACAUCUAUAAUAACGCCAAAUAUCGAUGAGGAUCUUGUGUUUGUCGAAUACAAACAAAAUAUUGGCCAAAUGGAAGAGAUACAAUUCAAGAAGAAUUGAUUCCAUAUGAAAN
rnacentral:lncRNA from 1 species